UGCCAGACUCCUACGGGAGGCAGCAGUAGGGAAUCUUUCACAAUGGGCGCAAGCCUGACCCAGCAACGCCGCGUGAAGGAAGAAGGCUUUCGGGUUGUAAACUUCUUUUGUCAGGGACGGAGCAAGUGACGGUACCUGACGAAUGAGCCACGGCUAACUACGUGCCAGCAGCCGCGGUAAUACGUAGGGGGCAAGCGUUAUCCGGAUUUACUGGGUGUAAAGGGGGCGCAGACGGCAGCGCAAGCCAGGAGUGAAAGCCCGGGGCCCAACCCCGGGACUGCUCUUGGAACUGCGCGGCUGGAGUGCAGGAGGGGCAGGCGGAAUUCCUAGUGUAGCGGUGAAAUGCGUAGAUAUUAGGAGGAACACCAGUGGCGAAGGCGGCCUGCUGGACUGCAACUGACGUUGAGGCUCGAAGGCGUGGGGAGCAAACAGGAUUAGAUACCCGGGUAU
rnacentral:rRNA from 1 species